rnacentral:rRNA from 1 species
GAUGAACGCUGGCGGCGUGCCUAAUACAUGCAAGUCGAGCGAAUGGAUUGAGAGCUUGCUCUUAUGAAGUUAGCGGCGGACGGGUGAGUAACACGUGGGUAACCUGCCCAUAAGACUGGGAUAACUCCGGGAAACCGGGGCUAAUACCGGAUAACAUUUUGAACCGCAUGGUUCGAAAUUGAAAGGCGGCUUCGGCUGUCACUUAUGGAUGGACCCGCGUCGCAUUAGCUAGUUGGUGAGGUAACGGCUCACCAAGGCAACGAUGCGUAGCCGACCUGAGAGGGUGAUCGGCCACACUGGGACUGAGACACGGCCCAGACUCCUACGGGAGUCAGCAGUAGGUAAUCUUCCGCAAUGGACGAAAGUCUGACGGAGCAACGCCGCGUGAGUGAUGAAGGCUUUCGUGUCGUAAAACUCUGUUGUUAGGGAAGAACAAGUGCUAGUUGAAUAAGCUGGCACCUUGACGGUACCUAACCAGAAAGCCACGGCUAACUACGUGCCAGCAGCCGCCGCGG